rnacentral:rRNA from 1 species
UACGUAGGGUGCAAGCGUUGUCCGGAAUUAUUGGGCGUAAAGAGCGUGUAGGCGGUCCGGUAAGUCCGCUGUGAAAGUCGGGGGCUCAACCCUCGAAUGCCGGUGGAUACUGUCGGGCUAGAGUGCGGAAGAGGCGAGUGGAAUUCCAGGUGUAGCGGUGAAAUGCGUAGAUAUCUGGAGGAACACCGGUGGCGAAGGCGGCAUCCUGGACCGGCAUUGACGCUGAGGCGCGAAAGCUAGGGGAGCAAACGGG